GAAAGCAGAAAUUAAUGUACACUCCUCACUACAACAGAAUUAGGUUAUAAGGACACAUGUUUGGGACACUUUUGAGUAAGUGUUCCAUUUAUGCUAAAAUUUAAAAGCACAUCUACUAAUGCCUAAAUAUAAAGCUCAAUCCACCACAUCCAGUCCAUUUGGUCCGAUUACAAACAGAAAAAAAAAGAAAAAUCAAUUACCAUCUUUUCUUCUCUUUUCACUCAAUUUACUGAAAUUCUAGAUGAAGAGCCUUUACUGUCGUCCUCCUCUGCCAUCGCAGCCAACGAGAUAGAGUUUCGGCGGUUGCUAAAUGCUUAAAUAAGUGUUGGUAAAUUAGCAGCACUCUUUUAGGUUAUAGCGACACUCUUUAACUGUCACUAUAUACCUAGCGACCCCACAUAUAGCAACACUUUUUAAAAGUGUCGGUAAUUUUAGCUAGCAGCACUUUUUUGACAUGUACCUACAUUUAAAAGUGUCGCUAUAGACCGUUUUUGUUGUUCCUAAAUGCUAUAAGUAU
rnacentral:lncRNA from 1 species